rnacentral:misc_RNA from 1 species
UGGUUCUGGCAUCGAUGAAGAACGCAGCGAAAUGCGAUAAGUAAUGUGAAUUGCAGAAUUUAGUGAAUCAUCGAAUCUUUGAACGCACAUUGCGCCCAUUAGUAUUCUAGUGGGCAUGCCUGUUCGAGCGUCAUUUCAACCCUUAAGCCUCUGUUGCUUAGUGUUGGGAGCCUACGAUAGCGUAGCUCCUCAAAAUCAGUGGCGGAGUCGGUUUACACUCUAGACGUAGUACAUUUUAUCUCGCCUGUGAGUUAGACUGAUCCCUUGCCGUAAAACCCCUAAUUUUUAAAAGGUUGACCUCGGAUCAGGUAGGAAUACCCGCUGA